rnacentral:lncRNA from 1 species
CAUGCCCUGGGGCAUGGAAGCAACCGCUGCUGGAUUUCAUUCGCUGACCCAGUUCCAAAGCCCAGGGGAAGGACGGGCUGUGAUAAAGAGACAGCUGGUUGGAAAUAGUGGGUGAUGGAGGACUUGCAUGAUUUAUUUAUUUUUUUGGCAAAAAGGAAAAAAAAAGGAAAAAAGAAUCGUUGGCUAAAAAGAGCAUAUUCUGGGCCAAACAGUGCCGCAGCAAUGCCUCGCGGGGCUUCUGCUAAGGCACCCCGAGGGAGAGGAAGAGCCCAGGAGAGAGGCUGGCUCCGACCCUCGUGCCAGAGACCUCAGGGAGUGAGGGCUGGCUCCAGGCUGUCUGCGUGUCGCGGCUCCCGCCGAAGCUCUCCUAUGCCCUGCGGCCAGCACCCAUCACAUCCUGGCCUUGGCCUGUCCGGAAACCCCCUGCAAGCCACGUUUUCCCCAUGACGUCUGGCCACGCGUUGACAAACCUGUACGAUCCCGGCUUCCUUCCUGGGACUGAGCGGGGAGCGGGGCUCCAUGGCGGUGCGGGGAGGAAAUUUGGCUGCCCGCAGCCCGCAGCCCCGGCGGUGGGGCCUCCCGGCGCUCGGGUUCGCAUACCCGCUGCAGCUUUCCUGUCUAUAUAAAUACGUUAAUAAAAGAUCAGUUUGCAGACGCA